UCAUUUACAAUCCAGCAUCUGGGGUAUACUCACGAGUAUUUGAUUACUAACCUGAUAAGCCUCGGGAAGGUCUGAGACAGGGUCGAAAGGAAUACCUUCCAGAGAGGUAUUUAAAUUUUAUAUUUUCUAGCAGAAAAUUUUACUGAUAGAAGGCAAAAGGAAAAGAAAUUCUGUAUUGACCCCGGAACAUGUUUUUUACGGUGUUCCCGGGGUGAAAUGCAUUGAAAUCUUUUGUGACCAGCUAUUUAAGUACAAUGUGCUGGCUAUAGAACUCAAUUCAGACUAAUCUGUAAAUGA
rnacentral:RNase_P_RNA from 2 species